UUUAUAUCUGUCUCCGGAACAUCACUCAGUCUUUCCGCGGCUACAGUUUGACCCUCUUGGCGUGGCUUGGGAAGAUAACACUGGAGACAUAUAUCUCCCAGUUUCAUAUAUGGCUCAGAUCUGGAGUUCCUGAUGGUCAACCCAAAUUGUUACUCUCUCUUAUCCCGGAUUACCCAUUGUUGAACUUCAUGCUCACAACUUCGAUUUACGUC